rnacentral:rRNA from 1 species
UGCAGUCGAGCGAGAACCAUUCCUUCGGGAAUGGGGACAGCGGCGAACGGGUGAGUAACACGUGGGUAAUCUGCCCUCGGCUCUGGGAUAGCCCGGGGAAACCCGGAUUAAUACCGGAUAGCCUUUCGAGCUCUCGAGCUCGUGAGAAAAGGUAGCUUCGGCCUCCGAUCGAGGAUGAGCCCGCGGCGGAUUAGCUUGUUGGUGGGGUAAUGGCCUACCAAGGCGACGAUCCGUAGCUGGUCUGAGAGGACGAUCAGCCACACUGGGACUGAGACACGGCCCAGACUCCUACGGGAGGCAGCAGUGGGGAAUCUUGCGCAAUGGGCGAAAGCCUGACGCAGCGACGCCGCGUGGGGGAAGAAGGCCUUCGGGUUGUAAACCUCUUUCAGCAGGGACGAAGCCACUCGGGUUAAUAGCCCAGAGGGUGACGGUACCUGCAGAAGAAGCCCCGGCUAACUACGUGCCAGCAGCCGCGGUAAUACGUAGGGGGCAAGCGUUGUCCGGAUUUAUUGGGCGUA